rnacentral:tRNA from 1 species
GCCGGUCUAGCUCAGCUGGUAGAGCACCUGAUUUGUAAUCAGGGGGUCGGGGGUUCGAGCCCCUCGACCGGCACCA